rnacentral:rRNA from 1 species
ACGUAGGGUGCAAGCGUUAAUCGGAAUUACUGGGCGUAAAGCGUGCGCAGGCGGUUUUGUAAGACAGAGGUGAAAUCCCCGGGCUCAACCUGGGAACUGCCUUUGUGACUGCAAGGCUGGAGUGCGGCAGAGGGGGGUGGAAUUCCACGUGUAGCAGUGAAAUGCGUAGAGAUGUGGAGGAACACCGAUGGCGAAGGCAGCCCCCUGGGCCUGUACUGACGCUC